GGCAAGGGAAGCAGGGGCCCAGCAUCUGAAGGUCUAUAGCGACUCUCAGUUAGUGGUUAGCCAUAUCAAGGGUGGCUAUGAGGCUCGAGAGGAGAAUAUGAAAAGAUAUCUCCAAAAGGUAAAAGACUUAACCUUGAUCUUUUUGAGCUUUGACAUUCAGCAGGUCUCCAGAACGGACAACAUCAAGGCAAAUGCGCUAUCAAAGCUGGCGGCUUUGCUACCCACCA
rnacentral:lncRNA from 1 species